rnacentral:rRNA from 1 species
AUUCCAGCUCCAGUAGCGUAUAUUAAAGUUGUUGCAGUUAAAAAGCUCGUAGUUGGAUUUCUGGCGUGGUGCGCCCGGCCCGAUACCGCUAAGGUGUCGAGUGCCGGCGCGCGCCUGCCAUCCUUCCGGAGAGCGUGCCUACCCUUCACUGGGCCGGGUACGCGAUCUGGAUCGUUUACUUUGAAAAAAUUAGAGUGCUUAAAGCAGGCUUACGCUUCUGAAUACAUUAGCAUGGAAUAAUAAGAUAGGACUUUGGUUCUAUUUUGUUGGUUUCUAGAACUAAAGUAAUGAUUGAUAGGGACAGUUGGGGGUGCUAGUAUUUAACGGCCAGAGGUGAAAUUCUUGGAUUCGUUAAAGACUAACUAAUGCGAAAGCAUUCACCAAGGAUGUCUUCAUUG